UGGCUGUGUCAUGUGUGAUCAGAAUGCACUUGAAUCUGAGGAACAUAAAUUAUCUAAUUGCCAGUUUGCUAAAGCCUGCUGGAAUUGCUUAUGCCCAGGAGUCACUCUACAAGGAUAAAAAAUAAAGGUGGCGACAAACUUUCAAGGAGGGGAUACAUCUGAUCUUUCACAUAACAGAAACAAAAUCUUAAUAUGGCAUGUACACCUUGCUGAAAAUAUUUAGAUCAAUUCCAGAUUAUUUUUGAAUUCAAGGGAAACAAUGGAUAGCAACUAAAACCGGACCAUUACCUGUCGUCACAAAUCAAGAAGCCGGCAUCAGAUCGAUCUUGGUGACCUCCUCGUGCGUUCCUGAAGCUGACACCAUCACAACAAUCUC